rnacentral:rRNA from 1 species
CCCAGAGCCUGAAUCAGUGUGUGUGUUAGUGGAAGCGUCUGGAAAGGCGCGCGAUACAGGGUGACAGCCCCGUACACAAAAAUGCACAUACUGUGAGCUCGAUGAGUAGGGCGGGACACGUGGUAUCCUGUCUGAAUAUGGGGGGACCAUCCUCCAAGGCUAAAUACUCCUGACUGACCGAUAGUGAACCAGUACCGUGAGGGAAAGGCGAAAAGAACCCCGGCGAGGGGAGUGAAAAAGAACCUGAAACCGUGUACGUACAAGCAGUGGGAGCCUCUUAAUGGGGUGACUGCGUACCUUUUGUAUAAUGGGUCAGCGACUUAUAUUCUGUAGCAAGGUUAACCGAAUAGGGGAGCCGAAGGGAAACCGAGUCUUAACUGGGCGUUAAGUUGCAGGGUAUAGACCCGAAACCCGGUGAUCUAGCCAUGGGCAGGUUGAAGGUUGGGUAACACUAACUGGAGGACCGAACCGACUAAUGUUGAAAAAUUAGCGGAUGACUUGUGGCUGGGGGUGAAAGGCCAAUCAAACCGGGAGAUAGCUGGUUCUCCCCGAAAGCUAUUUAGGUAGCGCCUCGUGAAUUCAUCUCCGGGGGUAGAGCACUGUUUCGGCAAGGGGGUCAUCCCGACUUACCAACCCGAUGCAAACUGCGAAUACCGGAGAAUGUUAUCACGGGAGACACACGGCGGGUGCUAACGUCCGUCGUGAAGAGGGAAACAACCCAGACCGCCAGCUAAGGUCCCAAAGUCAUGGUUAAGUGGGAAACGAUGUGGGAAGGCCCAGACAGCCAGGAUGUUGGCUUAGAAGCAGCCAUCAUUUAAAGAAAGCGUAAUAGCUCACUGGUCGAGUCGGCCUGCGCGGAAGAUGUAACGGGGCUAAACCAUGCACCGAAGCUGCGGCAGCGACACUAUGUGUUGUUGGGUAGGGGAGCGUUCUGUAAGCCUGUGAAGGUGUACUGUGAGGUAUGCUGGAGGUAUCAGAAGUGCGAAUGCUGACAUAAGUAACGAUAAAGCGGGUGAAAAGCCCGCUCGCCGGAAGACCAAGGGUUCCUGUCCAACGUUAAUCGGGGCAGGGUGAGUCGACCCCUAAGGCGAGGCCGAAAGGCGUAGUCGAUGGGAAACAGGUUAAUAUUCCUGUACUUGGUGUUACUGCGAAGGGGGGACGGAGAAGGCUAUGUUGGCCGGGCGACGGUUGUCCCGGUUUAAGCGUGUAGGCUGGUUUUCCAGGCAAAUCCGGAAAAUCAAGGCUGAGGCGUGAUGACGAGGCACUACGGUGCUGAAGCGACAAAUGCCCUGCUUCCAGGAAAAGCCUCUAAGCAUCAGGUAACAUCAAAUCGUACCCCAAACCGACACAGGUGGUCAGGUAGAGAAUACCAAGGCGCUUGAGAGAACUCGGGUGAAGGAACUAGGCAAAAUGGUGCCGUAACUUCGGGAGAAGGCACGCUGAUAUGUAGGUGAAGCGACUUGCUCGUGGAGCUGAAAUCAGUCGAAGAUACCAGCUGGCUGCAACUGUUUAUUAAAAACACAGCACUGUGCAAACACGAAAGUGGACGUAUACGGUGUGACGCCUGCCCGGUGCCGGAAGGUUAAUUGAUGGGGUUAGCGGUAACGCGAAGCUCUUGAUCGAAGCCCCGGUAAACGGCGGCCGUAACUAUAACGGUCCUAAGGUAGCGAAAUUCCUUGUCGGGUAAGUUCCGACCUGCACGAAUGGCGUAAUGAUGGCCAGGCUGUCUCCACCCGAGACUCAGUGAAAUUGAACUCGCUGUGAAGAUGCAGUGUACCCGCGGCAAGACGGAAAGACCCCGUGAACCUUUACUAUAGCUUGACACUGAACAUUGAGCCUUGAUGUGUAGGAUAGGUGGGAGGCUUUGAAGUGUGGACGCCAGUCUGCAUGGAGCCGACCUUGAAAUACCACCCUUUAAUGUUUGAUGUUCUAACGUGGGCCCCUUACCGGGGUUGCGGACAGUGUCUGGUGGGUAGUUUGACUGGGGCGGUCUCCUCCUAAAGAGUAACGGAGGAGCACGAAGGUUGGCUAAUCCUGGUCGGACAUCAGGAGGUUAGUGCAAUGGCAUAAGCCAGCUUGACUGCGAGCGUGACGGCGCGAGCAGGUGCGAAAGCAGGUCAUAGUGAUCCGGUGGUUCUGAAUGGAAGGGCCAUCGCUCAACGGAUAAAAGGUACUCCGGGGAUAACAGGCUGAUACCGCCCAAGAGUUCAUAUCGACGGCGGUGUUUGGCACCUCGAUGUCGGCUCAUCACAUCCUGGGGCUGAAGUAGGUCCCAAGGGUAUGGCUGUUCGCCAUUUAAAGUGGUACGCGAGCUGGGUUUAGAACGUCGUGAGACAGUUCGGUCCCUAUCUGCCGUGGGCGCUGGAGAACUGAGGGGGGCUGCUCCUAGUACGAGAGGACCGGAGUGGACGCAUCACUGGUGUUCGGGUUGUCAUGCCAAUGGCACUGCCCGGUAGCUAAAUGCGGAAGAGAUAAGUGCUGAAAGCAUCUAAGCACGAAACUUGCCCCGAGAUGAGUUCUCCCUGACUCCUUGAGAGUCCUGAAGGAACGUUGAAGACGACGACGUUGAUAGGCCGGGUGUGUAAGCGCAGCGAUGCGUUGAGCUAACCGGUACUAAUGAACCGUGAGGCUUAACCUU